rnacentral:lncRNA from 1 species
UAGGGGAAGGGGGAGGUGCGGUUGCGAUCCUCGGCGGGCGCGUGGACGAUGGGCAUGAUGUCCACGCCGAGGUUGAUGGGAGACGUCGCGGGCUUGUACUCAUACACGUUGCCCUCGGAAAAGUCCUUGAGGUAGGCGGUCAUCUGGGUGCCGAGGUAGGUGGAGAUGACGGAAGGGGGCGCCUCCAUCGCGCCGAGGCGGAAGUCGUUGCCGGGGGACGCGAUGGCGAGGCGCAUGAGGUCGCCGUACUCGUCGACGCCGGCGACGAGCGCGGCCAUGACGAUGGGGAAGAGGU